rnacentral:lncRNA from 1 species
GUGUGUUCUGCACUGUAAGGACGAGAGUCGUUAUCUAUACACGUUCCUCCAUGAUAUUUUUUGUUGGCUCCAUGAUAUUUUUUUGUUGGUGCAUGUUCGCACUGCAUGAAACAAUACUAGUGCACUAAGAGGGUGGGCACAUGUAUACUGCACGUACACUGCUGAAAACACACAUUCACAAGUUCAUCAAGGGGGAGGGCAAAAACUUUAACAUAGGGGGAUGCAUCCCACACAUCCGGGGGACAUCUGAGCUACAUGGUCAAUGUUUAAUGAGCUGCAUCUUUUUUUGUGUGGGUCCGUCUUCUCCAACAAAAUAUAGUUAAUUGAACCACGAAUAACCGCACUGGAGCACAACCAAACUUUAACUUCACCACAGUGCACUGCAAAGCAGAAAGAAGAAAUCACACACGCGCCCGUCAGGGAUGGAUUGAAGCACAGGGAGCUCUUGGCGCACGCAAGAACUGAAACGACCAUGACACCGGGUCGCAUGCGAGGCCAUGGCGGACUGCAUCAGAAGGUGCGCAUGCGAGGCCAUGGCGAACUGCAUCAGAAGGCAAAAAACGCGAGCGUUUGGUCAGUGUUCCGCAAUGCAUCGGCGGUUAAUGUGGACUACACCAUGGGCGUCAGUGAGGAGAAACAAAACAAAAUUACCGGAGCGCACUGCUUCACACCCACAAGCAUACUACACCGGGGUGGAGCUGUAUUCCUGCCAUCAUCGCCGGCGCGCCCACGGACUUCACCGACACGAGCAUUGAACCGCAUCCCAUGCCACCGAGUUGCACGUCUGUGGCUACCAUACUGAAGGGGGUGGGGGCAAACUGCACGGGGGAGCAGGCAUCCAUGUUCGACAAGGCCAGAG